rnacentral:rRNA from 1 species
GUCUCCGUGUGCCGCUCCCAAUCAACCCGCGUUUGCCCCAGCCUCCUAUCGCACGGAAACGGAGUCCUGCUGGGGUCUCCUUAACUGGGGGUUCCAGCGCUUCCGCGCACAACGUGCGCUUACGGACCGUCCGUGGACGUUACUGUGAACAAAACAGCGUGUUCAAAGCAAGUGGCUUGCCUGCCCUGCAUGUUAAAGCAUGGAAUAACAAGGCAUCGACCACUCGGUGGUGCUUUUGUUGGUCUUUCCCUCCCGGUGGGAAUGCGCAGGCGUGCACACUGCCGGCCUUCUGGCCGGUCUGGGUGCCGUCUCUUCGAGAUCAAUAGGGGCAAACGGGGAGAUACCUAUUGUGGGGAGAGCGGUGAAAUGCGAUGACCCCCAUAAGAGGAACUUCAGCGAAAGCAGUUCUCAAGACUGCCUUCGUUAAUCAAGAACGAGACUGUGGGGAUCAAAGAUGAUCAGAUACCGUCGUAGUCCACUAGCGUAAACGAUGCCGACUCAUCAUUGGGGGGCAUCUCUAACAGCGCCCCCC